GAUUUUCAAGGCAGCAGGCAUCUCGCUUUUAGCUGCAAGGAGAAACAGUGAUGGGAGUCGGCAGACGGAAUGAGAAUCAACAAUUAUACCAGGACUAGAUGGAUGUCGACAGGUGGGAGCAGAGAUGGAGGGACUAGACUCACAACCAGGAGUUAGACCGAAAUGAGAAAUGGAACUGGAGUAGACAGGAACAGAACUUCACAUUGAAAAGACAAACCCAGAGACAGGCACACAGCAAUGAUAUGUAGGUAGCCUGGGCAUAUUUAAUAAAAAUGCUUUUUGCCGAACAACCACUUUAAGCAAGGGUGAUUCUGCAUUAAAAGGAAGGGUAAGUGGUACACAAGGUCGUCCAGGACAAAGCAGUGGCGAAACGCGUCGGAAGGUGAGGUGGGGAAGCCGGGACAUACUAUUCUUUGGACACCAGUGUUAUUGGUAACAAACUUACCUUGUCUGGGUCCAGUGCCACUUCGGGUCUCCUUCAGACACCACUGGCAGGAUUCCAAUCGGUCCUGCUCGGCUCAGGACUGCUCAUCACUGUGCGGCUUGCCAUACUUUUUAGAAGCAGGAAGCGUCAGGUCAAUCAACUGUUUUCACACCUCCCGGCAGCUGGAGAAUUAAAUGGAUGUCUUCUAUGCAUUGAUGCCCAAGAUUGUGGGUCCAUCCUAUCAACAGUUUUCCUGUUUCUCAUAUCUAUUUCCUGUAUGGCUGAUCUGAACUGUUGUGAUCUGACCUUUGCCUGUUUCCUGAAUACUCUUUUGCCUGCUGAUUUUGUGCUAUGCUGCCCUCCUGGUUUGACCCUUGCUUGCUUGAAUUCUUGUCCUGUUUUUCUGUUAUGCUCCCCUCUUGGUUUAGACUUUCUGGCUUGUCCAUGGUGAACCUGCUAAUUUGGUACCUUAUGCCCAUGUGUUGCUGACCUGGCCUGAUUGAGUUCCCUGACAGUGGUUGGGGCGAAUUAAAGGGGUUAUCCAGGAAUAUAAAAACAGAGCUAAUUUCUUUCAAGAAUGGCUCCCUUUCUGUCUCCAGGUUGGGUGUGGUUCUGCAGCUCAGUUCCAUUGAAGUGAAUGGAGCCAAGUUGUAAUACUACACACAACCUAGGGACAGAUGUUAGCUCUGUUUUUCUAUUCCUGGAUAACCUUUUUAAAGUCUGGACUGCUCUUUACCUUACAUAAUACUAAUAAUUUAAAAUCUGUUGAGAGUUCAUGGAGAUACAAGCAAAAUACCAUAGUAAACUUUUAUCUUAUCAAUUGUUACCAUUUAAACUUCUAGUUCUAAUGUACAUGUUGUAUAGCCUGACCUUGUACUCCCUUGUCUUAAAGUUUCUACCAUAGUGUUCAUACUCUUCUUUGUACUUAUUUUAUUUAGCACUUAAAAGACUAUCAGAUUGCAAAGUUUUGUUCAUAGUUGCAUAGUUACUACUGUUGAAAAAAGACACAUGUCCAUCAAGUUCAUCCAAGGAGGUGAAGGGAAGGGUUAUAUGUGAAUGAAGGGGGAAGGGAUUCUAUUUUUCUGCAUAAGCAUUCAUGUUUUUUUUUACUUUAAAAAGUAGCUAACCCUGUUUUGAAUCCCUCAUCUGUCCCUGUUAUGACCAGUUCCUGAGGUAUAGUAUCAGAAAAAGAGUCCUUUAAAAAAAAAAAAAAAAAAAAAUUAUAAAUAUUUUUUUUAGUUAUCUCACACAAAUAAUUACAUAAAAACAGGAAGGAGAUAUCCAAUGCAAGUGGGGAAGAAAAAAAUAGGUGACACACUGUUCUGGAAAAAUGGCUCCCAGAAGAAGGACGUAGUAGGGGUGGACGUCACCUGGCCACGCUAUUAUUUGCUCUGUUACAUGUGGGUAUUGCUCCAGUGUGCACUUUGGUAUUUUUGUACCUUUGUACCUUUUGUAUACACUGUUGGAUGUGUAUCACACCCUUAUACAUUGCUGCUAUAUUGCUGCUAUACUAUUUCUUGUACUGUAUAUUUAUACAUCAUACAUGGUGUGCAUUGUUUUGCAUGCAUUACCCACCACAUAUACUACAUGUAUUAUUUAGUAUAUGGCAUUUUGCCAUUAUAGCACUCCUAUUCCCCUUUGCCAGGAGACUCCUUGUCAGAAGUCAUUCCUUUGUGUCAUGUAUGUAUUUUAAUAUUGUG